rnacentral:lncRNA from 1 species
GUGAGUUCCGUGGUGACAUGACACAACCAGAUGGGGGGCAAGAAUGACUUCGUGGCCCCUGGUGAAGAUAUCGCCCCUCAAUGGUGAACAACACUGAGACAGGUCCAACUCCAGAUCCAUCCAGCACCAACGCCAAGCAGAGGAGGGAGAGGAGCAUCCACCAUUGUCGCGUCGCCCGCUCUACCAGGCGACGACCACAGCAGAGCCGGCCACCCACUUCCCAUGCCGA